rnacentral:rRNA from 1 species
AGCGAACGCUGGCGGCAGGCUUAACACAUGCAAGUCGAACGCCCCGCAAGGGGAGUGGCAGACGGGUGAGUAACACGUGGGAACGUACCCUUUGGUUCGGAAUAACUUGGGGAAACUCAAGCUAAUACCGGAUAAGCCCUUAUGGGGAGAGGUUUACUGCCGAAGGAUCGGUCCGCGUCUGAUUAGCUAGUUGGUGAGGUAAUGGCUCACCAAGGCGACGAUCAGUAGCUGGUCUGAGAGGAUGAUCAGCCACACUGGGACUGAGACACGGCCCAGACUCCUACGGGAGGCAGCAGUGGGGGAUAUUGGACAAUGGGGGCAACCCUGAUCCAGCCAUGCCGCGUGAGUGAUGAAGGCCUUAGGGUUGUAAAGCUCUUUUACCCGGGACGAUAAUGACUGUACCGGGAGAAUAAGCCCCGGCUAACUUCGUGCCAGCCGCCGCAGUAA